rnacentral:rRNA from 1 species
GGACGACGCGGCGGCGUCUUAACACAUGCAAGUCGAACGAGAAAGCACUUCGGUGCGAGUACAGUGGCGAACGGGUGAGUAACACGUGGGCAACCUGCCCUGGAGAGCGGGACAACCCGAGGAAACUCGGGCUAAUACCGCAUGAUGCGUCCUGGCGUAAGUCAGGCCGCCAAAUGGUAGCUCUUCGGAGCCUCCGCUCUGGGAUGGGCCCGCGCCGGAUUAGCUAGUUGGUUGGGGUAAUGGCCCACCAAGGCGACGAUCCGUAGCUGGUCUGAGAGGACGAUCAGCCACACUGGGACUGAGACACGGCCCAGACUCCUACGGGAGGCAGCAGUGGGGAAUCUUGCGCAAUGGGCGAAAGCCUGACGCAGCAACGCCGCGUGAGGGAAGAAGGCCUUCGGGUUGUAAACCUCUUUCAGGAGGGACGAAGCUUCCGGGGUUAAUAGCCUACGGGGUGACGGUACCUCCAGAAGAAGCCCCGGCUAACUACGUGCCAGCAGCCGCGGUAAUACGUAGGGGGCAAGCGUUGUCCGGAAUCAUUGGGCGUAAAGCGCGUGUAGGCGGCUUGGUAAGUCUGGCGUGAAAUCUUGGGGCUCAACCCCAAGCCUGCGCUGGAUACUGCCUCGCUCGAGUCCGGGAGAGGAAAGCGGAAUUCCCAGUGUAGCGGUGAAAUGCGCAGAUAUUGGGAAGAACACCGAUGGCGAAGGCAGCUUUCUGGAACGGUAC